rnacentral:rRNA from 1 species
UGAGCUAUUAUUACCUUUGUUGCUUUGGCGGGCCGUCAGAUUUCGGUCAGGCUACCGGCUCCGGCUGCUAAGCGCCCGCCAGAGGACCCCAAACUCCUGAAUAUUAGUGUCGUCUGAGUACUAUAUAAUAGUUAAAACUUUCAACAACGGAUCUCUUGGUUCUGGCAUCGAUGAAGAACGCACCGAAAUGCGAUAAGUAAUGUGAAUUGCAGAAUUCAGUGAAUCAUCGAAUCUUUGAACGCACAUUGCGCCCCUUGGGAUUCCGAGGGGCAUGCCUGUUCGAGCGUCAUUACAUACCCUCAAGCACUGCUUGGUAUUGGGCUCCGCUGCUUAUACAGCGGGCCUUAAAAUUAGUGGCGGUGUCAUUAGGCCCUGAGCGUAGUAAAUAUCCUCGCUAUAGGGACUUGGUGAUUACUGGCCAGCAACCCCCACUUUCUAAGUUUGACCUCGGAUCAGGUAGGGAUACCCGCUGAACUUAAGCAUAUCAAUAAGCGGAGGAAAAGAAACCAACAGGGAUUGCCUCAGUAACGGCGAGUGAAGCGGCAACAGCUCAAAUUUGAAAUCUGGCUCUUUCAGGGUCCGAGUUGUAAUUUGUAGAAGAUGCU